UACGGAGGGUGCAAGCGUUAUCCGGAUUCACUGGGUUUAAAGGGUGCGUAGGCGGGGAUAUAAGUCAGUGGUGAAAGCUCCGGGCUUAACUUGGAAACUGCCAUUGAUACUGUAUAUCUUGAAUGUCGUUGAGGUAAGCGGAAUGUUGCAUGUAGCGGUGAAAUGCUUAGAUAUGUUACAGAACACCAAUUGUGAAGACAGCUUACUAAGCGAUGAUUGACGCUGAGGCACGAAAGCGUGGGGAGCAAACAGG
rnacentral:rRNA from 1 species